GGAAGGAUCGCAUAGUGGUCGAGUGCGCCGCCUUGGAAAGGCGGUAAGUCUUAACGGGCUUCGAGGGUUCAAAUCCCUCUCCUUCCG
rnacentral:tRNA from 1 species